rnacentral:rRNA from 1 species
UACGUAGGUGCAAGCGUUGUCCGGAAUUAUUGGGCGUAAAGAGCUCGUAGGCGGUCUGUCGCGUCGGCUGUGAAAACCCGGGGCUCAACCCCGGGCCUGCAGUCGAUACGGGCAGAACUAGAGUGCGGUAGGGGAGACUGGAAUUCCUGGUGUAGCGGUGAAAUGCGCAGAUAUCAGGAGGAACACCGGUGGCGAAGGCGGGAUCCUGGGCCAGUACGUGACGCUGAGGAGCGAAAGCGUGG